rnacentral:rRNA from 1 species
AUUGAACGCUGGCGGCAUGCCUUACACAUGCAAGUCGAACGGUAACGGGCCUUCGGGUGCCGACGAGUGACGAACGGGUGAGUAAUACAUCGGAACGUGCCCGAUCGUGGGGGAUAACGAGGCGAAAGCUUUGCUAAUACCGCAUACGAUCUACGGAUGAAAGCAGGGGACCGCAAGGCCUUGCGCGGACGGAGCGGCCGAUGGCAGAUUAGGUAGUUGGUGGGAUAAAAGCUUACCAAGCCGACGAUCUGUAGCUGGUCUGAGAGGAUGAUCAGCCACACUGGGACUGAGACACGGCCCAGACUCCUACGGGAGGCAGCAGUGGGGAAUUUUGGACAAUGGGCGCAAGCCUGAUCCAGCCAUGCCGCGUGCAGGAUGAAGGCCUUCGGGUUGUAAACUGCUUUUGUACGGAACGAAAAGCCUUCUUUUAAUACAGGAGGGUCAUGACGGUACCGUAAGAAUAAGCACCGGCUAACUACGUG